AUACUUACCUUGCAAGGUAGAUUCAAAUAUUAAGAUGGUUUUUCUAGGGUAAGGCUAAUUCACUGCAAUCAGGAUCUGCUAAUCCUUGAAGUUCCCUCUAAUUCAGAACAUUCAACUAUAUAAUUUGUGAUGGGGAACUGCUUUCCUGAUCUUCUUG